CUAAUUUGUGCUCAACUUUCCAUGUCUGUACCAUUAGAACAUGAUUAUAUAGGUUUAUCAGAACCUUCUUUAAUGGAAAGAAGUUCUGAUAAGAUUUCUUCUUCUUCUUCUUCCUCUGUUCUAAACCUUAAGGAGACUGAGCUGAGACUUGGGUUGCCUGGUUCUGAGUCUCAUGGGGUUUCUCUUUUUGGCAAAGAUUUGGACCCUUUAAGCAAUUUUACAUCAAGAACAAAAAGGGGUUUUUCUGAUGCAAUUGAUGCAUCUGGAAAAUCGGAUUUGUCUAUUAAUUGCAGAUCUGAAGCUGAUAGGGAAAACGGGAACUUGUUGUUUUCCCCAAAAAGAGGGAAUGGAGGUUCAAACCCUGUUGAAGAAAAAAAG
rnacentral:misc_RNA from 1 species